AGGAAAAGAAACCAACAGGGAUUGCCCUAGUAACGGCGAGUGAAGCGGCAACAGCUCAAAUUUGAAAUCUGGCGCAAGCCCGAGUUGUAAUUUGUAGAGGAUGCUUCAGGGCAGCGGCCGGUCUAAGUUCCUUGGAACAGGACGUCAUAGAGGGUGAGAAUCCCGUAUGCGACCGGUUGGCACCCGUCACGUAGCUCCUUCGACGAGUCGAGUUGUUUGGGAAUGCAGCUCUAAAUGGGAGGUAAAUGCCUUCUAAAGCUAAAUACCGGCCAGAGACCGAUAGCGCACAAGUAGAGUGAUCGAAAGAUGAAAAGCACUUUGGAAAGAGAGUUAAAAAGCACGUGAAAUUGUUGAAAGGGAAGCGCAUGCAACCAGACUUGCCGGCGGUGUUCAACCGGUCUUCUGACCGGUCUACUCGCCGCCGGCAGGCCAACAUCAUUUGGGAGCGCCGGAUAAAGGUGGGAGGAAUGUGGCCCCUCGGGGUGUUAUAGCCUCCUACGCAAUACGGCGCCUCCCGAGUGAGGUCCGCGCUUCGGCUAGGAUGUUGGCGUAAUGGUUGUCUGCGGCCCGUCUUGAAACACGGACCAAGGAGUCUAACAUCUAUGCGAGUGUUCGGGUGUCAAACCCCUACGCGUAAUGAAAGUGAACGGAGGUGGGAACUUUUUGUGCACCAUCGACCGAUCCUGAUGUCUUCGGAUGGAUUUGAGUAAGAGCAUAGCUGUUGGGACCCGAAAGAUGGUGAACUAUGCCUGAAUAGGGUGAAGCCAGAGGAAACUCUGGUGGAGGCUCGCAGCGGUUCUGACGUGCAAAUCGAUCGUCAAAUUUGGGUAUAGGGGCGAAAGACUAAUCGAACCAU
rnacentral:rRNA from 1 species